CUACCUCUGUGCAAAACCAACUCACUACUCUUUCAGUCAGCUGUAUUCAAACAUUUGUGUCUACAGUGGAGCAAUCUGUAAACACAGCACUGACAUUACCAACUUAUGAAGCUGAUGCUAAGCAGAAGCAAGGUGAUACUUCUCUACCAGCCAUCCAUUUCACAUUACACAUAAUUAUUUGAUUCAUUGUUGAUGUAAAAAUAAUGGCUAGCUUCAGUUUACAGUAUGUUCAGUUUUAAGCUGGCCACUUACUGUAGGUUCACACAAGCAGUAAGAAACAUCUCAAACUCCAAACACUGUACAGCUCCUGUCAAAUAAAGUCAUCAAGUAGAAGUUGAGGUGAAACUCAUGUUUUGAUCAAUCUAUUUUGCCAAACACUAUAAGAACAUGUAGCACUUCCUGACAAAUAUGGCCCUAUCACGCCAGUCCAUAGUGAGAAUACUGGAUAAACACUGUGCAUGUCUCUUUAGGCAUGUACAGUGACCCGUACUGCUAGAGUUAAAACCAUUUAGAAAAUAGCAUUUAUUCAACUCUUGGUUGACAAAGAGUUCAAGAGCAGCAGACAAGGCUCCAUUGUGCUGUCCUGCCAUGACAUGACAUCAGAGAGCAGCCCUGUAGAAAACAUAAGCACAAACAUUCAUGUAUACAUGUAGCAUGUACCAAUUUGGCCUUCUUAAAUUAAGUGCAACACAGUGGUAAAAUUACAUGAAAUCACUGAGGGGAGCAGCACUUCAGCUAAAACACUGCCUGACUUUUCUUAGUCAACAGUCUUCACAAUGGCCACCAUUCAGUGCGGUGCUGGUGUCUGCCAUAAUAGGAGCCAGGGCUUGGCUUUUCUUUUGUGUCUGCUCGUGUAUGUUGUGUUUGUUUGUCUGAGUAGCAGGCUGAGUUUGGAUUCAGAGCACACAGAUGAUGGACAGUGAGUGGAUGAGUUUGUCUCUGUGGAUAUUCUAAGUCGAGAGAUUUACAGCUGUGGAUUGAAUUUUUCCAUUAAUAAAGCACUUCAGCCUCUGUGGUGUCACAGCAGAAGCUCUGAAACAGCUAGAGCAGAAAAGGACCCAGAGAGGGGUCAGGAAGUUAGUUCACAGCAUCUCAACAGUCCGUCUGCAGCAGGUAUCUCACUCCAUCCCUUUGCCAAGACUAUAACCACAUUAUAGCCCAAUGGAAGGCACCAAAACUUCUCUUUGGCUGGUUCUCCUGCUCAUCCAGCUGCCGUUCUAUCCUACUGAUGCAGACGUAGGCCUUCAAACCAUGCCAACACAUUCCAACAAAACAAAAGAUCAAGGUAGCAGCUCAGCCACUGUGACAGAAACCAGCCUUACUACCACUAACCACACCAACUCUCUUGAUACAGACGCCAAUGGCAACUGCUUGAUCAACAC